UACGAAGGGGGCUAGCGUUGUUCGGAAUUACUGGGCGUAAAGGGCGCGUAGGCGGUGUGUCAAGUCAGGCGUGAAAGCCCCGGGCUCAACCUGGGAACAGCGCUUGAGACUGGCACGCUCGAGUUCGGGAGAGGAUGGUGGAAUUCCCAGUGUAGCGGUGAAAUGCGCAGAUAUCGGGAGGAACACCAAUGGCGAAGGCAGCUCGCUGGGACGUUACUGACGCUGAGACGCGAAAGCGUGGGGAGCGAACAGG
rnacentral:rRNA from 1 species